UACGGGGGGAGCAAGCGUUGUUCGGAUUUAUUGGGCGUAAAGGGUGCGUAGGCGGCCGUGCAAGUCUGGCGUGAAAGCCCCGGGCUCAGCCCGGGAAGUGCGCUCGAAACUGCGCGGCUCGAGUGCCGGAGGGGAGAGUGGAAUUCCUGGUGUAGUGGUGAAAUGCGUAGAUAUCAGGAGGAAUACCGGUGGCGAAAGCGGCGCGCUGGACCUCUUCUGACGCUGAGGCGCGAAAGCCAGGGGAGCAAACAGG
rnacentral:rRNA from 1 species